UACGAAGGGGCUAGCGUUGCUCGGAAUUACUGGGCGUAAAGGGAGCGUAGGCGGAUAGUUUAGUCAGAGGUGAAAGCCCAGGGCUCAACCUUGGAAUUGCCUUUGAUACUGGCUAUCUUGAGUACGGAAGAGGUAUGUGGAACUCCGAGUGUAGAGGUGAAAUUCGUAGAUAUUCGGAAGAACACCAGUGGCGAAGGCGACAUACUGGUCCGUUACUGACGCUGAGGCUCGAAAGCGUGGGGAGCAAACAGG
rnacentral:rRNA from 1 species